rnacentral:sRNA from 1 species
CCUCUGCCCCUACCACAGUGACCGGCAGCUUAUGAGUCAAGUGGCCGUGGCUGGACUGCUCACUGUGCUUGUCUCUUUCCUGGAUGUUCGAAACAUUAUUCUAGGCAAAUCACACUAUGUAUUGUAUGGGCUGGUGGCUGCCAUGCAGCCCCGAAUGCUGGUUACGUUUGAUGAGGAGCUGCGGCCAUUGCCAGUGUCUGUCCGUGUGGGCCAGGUGAGAGGUUGAGUAGAGGGGAGGGCUCAGGCUGUAUUCCCAAACUGGAGAAUGUACAUAUACUUGCUUUGCUGAAACUGGCAUGGGUGGUGGGUUGUUGCUACUUUUCCAUCUUUCUUUUCAAUUUUCUUACCCUACAGGCAGUGGAUGUGGUGGG